rnacentral:lncRNA from 1 species
UUCGUGUGUUAAGUGAAAGUUAUCACCACCAACUAUUUCUCUAAUUAAGAAAAAUGUCUUACUCGUUAAGUACGCGGGUAAUUCAUUUAUAACCUGCAUAAUGUGAACAUAGAUUAUCGCGUUUGGUUGGUUUCUUGGUUCAGUGUCUGUCAGAAUUCUCUAUGUAUGUGUAUCUUCACCUUCCAAUUAUGGAUCAGUAAAUUUAUUAUCGUUUUCCAAAAUAGCAAGACUAUUUCUUGCUUACAGGCCACAGCUCACACCAUUAAUUAGUUUCUCCAUUUCGUGUGUUAAGUGAAAGUUAUCACCACCAACUAUUUCUCUAAUUAAGAAAAAUGUCUUACUCGUUAAGUACGCGGGUAAUUCAUUUAUAACCUGCAUAAUGUGAACAUAGAUUAUCGCGUUUGGUUGGUUUCUUGGUUCAGUGUCUUUCAGAAUUUUCUAUGUAUGUGUAUCUUUACCUUCCAAUUAUGGAUCAGUAAAUUUAUUAUCGUUUUCCAAAAUAGCAAGACUAUCUCUUGCUUACAGGCCACAGCUCACACCAUUAAUUAGUUUCUCCAUAUAUAUAUGUAUAAAAACGCUGAUUCUGACUCCAAUGUCAGUUGAU